UACAGAGGUCUCAAGCGUUGUUCGGAUUCAUUGGGCGUAAAGGGUGCGUAGGCGGCGCGGUAAGUCGGGUGUGAAAUCUUGGAGCUUAACUCCGAAACUGCAUUCGAUACUGCCGUGCUUGAGGACUGGAGAGGAGACUGGAAUUUACGGUGUAGCGGUGAAAUGCGCAGAUAUCAGGAAGAACACCCGUGGCGAAGGCGGUUCUCUGGGACGGUACUGACGCUGAGACGCGAAAGCGUGGGGAGCGAACAGG
rnacentral:rRNA from 1 species